rnacentral:tRNA from 1 species
GCGGGAUUAGCAUAGGGGCAAUGCACUGGCUUCCCAAGCCAGCUACACGGGUUCGAUUCCCGUAUCCCGCU